GUGGAUGUAGCUCAGUGGUAGAGCUCCUGACUGUGGAUCAGGUGGUCGUGGGUUCAAACCCCAUCAUCCACC
rnacentral:tRNA from 1 species